UACAGAGGUCCCAAGCGUUGUUCGGAUUUACUGGGCGUAAAGGGUGCGUAGGUGGUUGGGUAAGUUUGAUGUGAAAUCUCCGAGCUUAACUCGGAAAUGGCAUUGAAUACUAUUCGGCUAGAGGUUUGGAGGGGGACUGGAAUUCUUGGUGUAGCAGUGAAAUGCGUAGAUAUCAAGAGGAACACCAGUGGCGAAGGCGGCUAACUGGUCCGGUUCUGACGCUGAGGCGCGAAAGCGUGGGGAGCAAACAGGGAUUAAGAAACCCGUGAGUACG
rnacentral:rRNA from 1 species